UACGGAGGGGGUGAGCGUUAUUCGGAAUUAUUGGGCGUAAAGGGCGCGUAGGCGGCCCGGUAAGUCAAAGGUGAAAUCCCUCGGCUCAACUGAGGAACUGCCUUUGAAACUGUCGGGCUUGAGGCCGGGAGAGGGUAGUGGAAUUCCCAGUGUAGCGGUGAAAUGCGUAGAUAUCGUAAGGAAGACCAGUGGCGAAGGCGGGUCUCUGGACAGUUCCUGACGCUGAGGCACGAAGGCUAGGGGAGCAAACGGG
rnacentral:rRNA from 1 species